AUCUUGGUUACGGUAGGUCUGGGGUU
rnacentral:sRNA from 1 species